UUCCAAUUUCAAUACUAGGUAAUUCUAGUCUGUCAAAAACAUACAGUGAACAUUAUUUUCUCGCUAAGAUUUUCAAGAUCACAUAAUUAGAAUUUAGAAACCCAAGUAAAAUUCACUGAACACGUUGGAGAGCAUCUCAUAAGGUAAAGAGGAGAAAGUACAGAACAUAAGGCAAUUAUAAAGAUUAAGCAGGAAUCAUUACGUAAAGUAUAAUUAAGUUUUGAGAAAUACAGGAUUAGUUAACAUUGCCGAUGAAUAGUAAUUUGUUUAUAGUUAUGAUAUGGAAGCAGAUAGACGUUGAGUGUGCACAAAAAGGAUUCUAUUUGGCAGACAAAAGAAGGCGUUGUACAGGUAGAAUUCCAUUUCUGGGGAUACAUUUGCCUUCUGGUCUAUUAUGAAAUGUUGCUUUCAACAGUCAAUUAGUGACAGUAACACUGAGAAAAUAAGGGAUGCCACUUUUUGUGACCACAAGUCGGUACUGGACUUACCAAAGUGCUUGAAAGAGAUGAGCCAAUCAGCCAAGCACCAUAAUCUCUAAGUUCCUGCUAAGUUGGUCCUGCUGCAUAAACAACAUGCUGUUAUUUAGAUCAUACUCAUACAACAAACUAAUUGGACUGAAUAAUCACGAUUUUAUAUCAAGUUAGACUACAAGUUGGGAUCAGCAUAUGAAUCCUAUCUAUCCAUGUCACUCUAUUUGGAUCCACACCAUUACUAUAUACAAGAGAUUUAUAGGAAACCUACAAAGAAAAGACA
rnacentral:lncRNA from 1 species